GUCCAGCUGACGAGUUCCAACCAAGACGAAAUGUUCGUCAUGGAU
rnacentral:hammerhead_ribozyme from 1 species